UGGAAUGUGUUAGAGGAUGCAAAGGUCAAAAACCUGAUUGUGAUAUACUUUGUUAUAAAGUAUGUAAUGAUGAUUAUCCAAUGGAUUAUUGCAAUCUUAAUUGUGCAAUUAACAAAUGUGGAAGUUUAAUUAAAGAUGACAAACAAUGGAAAGGUUGCAUGAAUAAUUGUUCCAACAAUUAUUGCAAAAAUUAGAGCUUUGUUUAAUGAUUUUAAUUUUGUAAAACCAAAUCUAAUCUGUGAAAUUAUUGUCAAAGUUUUAAUAAUAGAUGUUUUUUUUCCUUGAUUC